GUCGAAAACCCGCCCCUUCAUUUCGUUGCUAUGGACUACAGAGUGUGAUGUUGGGCUACCGAGACUGUGUGCAGGUGUGAUGUGCUGCUCACAAUCAGUGCGGUGUGCCGUCAAGGCUCCCAACUGUGUAGCAUGGUAGUUUAACGUAGCUCCGGUCGGAGCUCCAGCUGUUGCCAUCAGAACUAUUAAAGACGCUAUCAUGAUUUUCGUAUGUGCCAUCGUGAGUAUCAUGUCAUCGGAUCAUGGGUCCUCGAUUUUGCAUGCGUUAAGGCGGGCUGAGUCAGAUGUGGUCGUUUCGGUAUAGCUCCUCCCCUCACUCGCGGAGCCACGUUGCUGCAUUGGGGCUGCUUUGGGCUGCUUCAUUCGGUUUGGUUUUGCUGCUUGAUGUUUUGAUUUGUUUUUAUUGUUUUAUGUUGUUUUGUUUUGUUCUUUUGCUUUGUGUUGGUUACUGUCACUGAGAUCAGCUUUCUUUAAUUCAACUGUGUUGUAACAGUUUUUAUCAGUUAUGCUGAUAUUGCUAUGUGGUAGUAGUAGUUUUGGUCAGCUUUGGUAAACUUGCUACCUGUAAUCAGUUUGAGUGUGGGGUUAUUUGUGCUUUUGUGGCAGAGCUGAGUGCUUCCUGAGGCUGUGCAGAAGGUGGAGUAGCGACACGAGCUCCAAAAUCCAGCGGAGAGCUGGACACGGAAGACAGAGCAAGAGAUAGAGCAGCGCUCGUUUCCGGUUCUUCUUCCAGAUCCAUAUGAGAUCCCCGGACCUGAGACAGCUUGCUGCCUUGUCAGCGGCCGACCCAGAUUUGAGAGGCUCUGAAACCCAACUCACUUUGACUUCUGAGAAAAGAGUGAGUCACGAGCGAACUGCCUAAUUGUAAGGCACUACAAUGCACACAGUCAGACCUCUCGAGGCUGCCAUGGCGUGCUCCAGGCUAGACACUUCACACAGAAAUUGUGCAGUCUUCCCCGUGAUGAAACGGGAGCAAGGAGUAACAAACUUCCUGAACUGUCUCAGGCAUAUUUUUCUCCCUUUUUUUUUUUUU